rnacentral:rRNA from 1 species
UUCGGGGGAAAGCCGGGGACCUUCGGGCCUGGCGCGAUUGGAUGAGCCCACGUCGGAUUAGCUAGUUGGCGGGGUAAAGGCCCACCAAAGGCGACGACCCGUAGCUGGUCUGAGAGGACGAUCAGCCACACUGGAACUGAGACACGGUCCAGACUCCUACGGGAGGCAGCAGUAGGGAAUAUUGGACAAUGGGCGCAAGCCUGAUCCAGCCAUGCCGCGUGAGUGAAGAAGGCCCUCGGGUUGUAAAGCUCUUUUGUCCGGAAAGAAAAGCGCCGGGUUAAUACCCUGGUGUCCUGACGGUACCGGAAGAAUAAGCACCGGCUAACUUCGUG